rnacentral:misc_RNA from 1 species
GAUGAAGAACUAGCGAAAUGCGAUAAGUAAUGUGAAUUGCAGAAUUCAGUGAAUCAUCGAAUCUUUGAACGCACAUUGCGCCCCUUGGUAUUCCGAGGGGCAUGCCUGUUCGAGCGUCAUUAUAACCCCUCAAGCUCAGCUUGGUGUUGGGGCCUGCUGCACUGGCAGCCCUUAAAAUCAGUGGCGGCGCCAUCUGGCUCUAAGCGUAGUAAUUCUUCUCGCUAUGGAGUCCUGGUGGAUGCUUGCCAUCAACCCCCAAUUUUUCUAUGGUUGACCUCGGAUCAGGUAGGGAUACCCGCUGAACUUAAGCAUAUCAAUAAGCGGAGGA